rnacentral:lncRNA from 1 species
GUGAAAGGGGCAUGCAAAGGCUGGAGAAGAGAAAUCCAGGGAUCUGCUACAGUGGCCACAACACCAGUGCCUGGACCUGGGCAGGAAGUGCCCAUGGGAACAGAUCUGAGCCCUGUUGAGGAGUGCCUGUGGACUUUCCAGAGGGAGACAUCUGGAAGGCUGCAAAAUCCCUGCAUCUGGAGUGGAACAUCUGGGAGCCGUCUGCAGCACAGGGAUGGUAACUGAGGCCUGGGAGCUCAUGGUCUCCCCAGUGUGUGUAGCGGGGGUAGGGGUGUUGAGGGGAGAGCACAGAAAGAAGGAGACACGCCCCCAACACACAAAGGUCUUUCAAAGGAAGAAGGGGCAGGAGGAAACAGGAGGAAGCAACCCCAGGAAAGUGGGGUAUCCCAGGAGCCAAGCAAGGACAGACUUAAGGAGGGUGGGGGGGUCACAGCUGUGCCACCCCCUCCAACCAGUGCCCUCAGCACUCAAGUCCCAGGUUCUGCCUUCCCCACCCCAGUAUCCUCCACUUCCCUGAAAAACCCAGGGAAAGGAAAGGAUCCCCUGGGCUAUGCUUUGGGAGUGGUGGGGGAAGGGGAUGAACAGGAAGGACACCAGGUGAUCAACAGGAGGAAAACAUACCUCCUGGGUCAAAGUCCCAAGCUUUAGAGCAAAACAAGUUGUUCCAGAAAAGAGGGAGCAUGGGUGGACACUUGGCUUUGAGGCUGGUCCCUCCUCCCUGGAGGUCUUCACACGGGUGGAGGGUCAUCUCCCCAGCUGUAUGGACACAGCCCUGAUCCCCAUGGUAACAAGGUGGGCCCCCCUACUGGUCUGGCUGGGGCCCAGGGUCUGGACUAAGGUCUCAGCAGCCCCACAGGGCUGCACCGUGUGUCCUGAGCAGCUGUUCCAUCGACGUUCAGUUCCUCCUUCCUGUUCCAGCCCAGCUGUCACGCAAAA